UCAGCUUAACCCUGCCGUUCGUUUGGAGCAUGUGAACACACUCUGAGCCUUGAUGAGUUCCAGUAUGUGGUAUAUUAUGCAGAGCAUUCUGAGCAAAUACUCUCUCUCAGAGCACUUAAUCCGAACAAUCGCUGCCAUCCGUUCCUUCCCACAUGAUAACGGGGAGGACCUCAUUAGAGGGGGAGCAGAUGUGAACUGCACCCAUGGCACCCUGAAGCCCCUUUACUGUGCCUGUAUGAUGUCAGAUGCUGACUGUGUGGAGUUACUCCUGGAAAAAGGAGCAGAGGUGAAUGCCCUGGAUGGUUACAACCAAACAGCACUGCACUAUGCAGCAGAGAAAGAUGAGGCAUGUGUGGAGGACCUGUUAGAGUAUGGUGCAAAUCCCAAUGCUCUGGAUGGCAACAGAGACACCCCACUUCACUGGGCAGCCUUUAAGAACAAUGCUGAGUGUGUGCGGGCUCUCCUGGAGAGUGGGCUUCUGUCAAUGCCCUAGAUUACAACAAUGAUACACCACUCAGCUGGGCUGCCAUGAUGGGGAAUCUUGAAUGUGUCAGCAUCCUUCUUGAUUACGGUGCAGAGGUCAAGGUUAUCAACCUAAAAGGCCAGACACCCAUCUCCCACCUGGUCGCUCUGCUAGUCAGGGGACUUGGAACAGAGAAAGAGGACUCCUGCUUUGAGCUCCUCCACAGAGCUGUUGGACACUUUGAAUUAAGGAAAAAUGGCACCAUGCCACAAGAGGUGGCCAAAGACCAACAGCUAUGUGAAAAACUGACUGUGCUCUGCUCCGCCCCAGGAACGCUGAAACACUCUCUCCCUAUGCUGUGCAACAGAGCCUGGGCCUCCAGUAUCUGCCCGAUGCAGUGAAAGGCCUUCCACUGCCAGCUUCUUUGAAACAAUACCUGCUACUUGUAGAAUGGCCUAGAGAUGCUUGA